rnacentral:rRNA from 1 species
AUUGAACGCUGGCGGCAGGCCUACCACAUGCAAGUCGAACGAGUGGCGGACGGGUGAGUCAUGUCUGGGAACCUGCCCGAUGGAGGGGGAUAACUACUGGAAACGGUAGCUAAUACCGCAUACCAUCGGAUGUGCCCAGAUGGGAUUAGCUAGUAGGUGGGGUAAAGGCUCACCUAGGCGACGAUCCCUAGCUGGUCUGAGAGGAUGACCGGCCAAAUUGGAAUGGAAACACGGACGAGACUCCUCAGGGAGGCAGCAGUGGGGAAGUUGGCACAAUGGGAGGAAUCCUGAAGCAGCAAUGCCGCGUGUAGGAAGAAGGCCGUCGGGUUGUAAAGAACUGUCAGCAGGGAGGCGGUACCGGGAGAAUAAACACCGGCUAACUCCGUGCCAGCAGCCGCGGUAAUAC